CUUCAAUAUCGCCACCUACUGUGGUGGAGUGUAAUAUCAUAACGGUAAACAUUUAAAUAAAGUGCACUGCACACUCGUCAGAAACUGAAUGUUAAAUAUUUAGCAAGAAUGUGUACAUCAGGCGUACUAAUAAAAAAAAUAUAUGCUGGUAAACACAGUUCAGCAAUUUACUAUCAAUCCUGGCUACAUUUCCACCUGCAAAUUGCCGUAAUUAAUAACAUCAGCACUAGAAAGUUCCCCCCUACUAUUUGUGACUUUACCUAAAUAUUCAUGUAUUUAAUUAUAAAAGUCCACUUUUCUCAACCUUCGUGGGAGAAGUAUCUGGAUUGAGGUUUAUGAACGAUUUAGUUUAGCUAAUCAUCGACUACUCCCUGGUGGACAAAAGAUGAUCAACAGCAUAGUUCCAAAUGGACUCAGUACUUCCUCAAUUCAACAGAAAGGGCUGUAUUAUAGCGGUGUGCUUGGUAGUUGCUUGAAGAAUUCAUGAGAUAACCCUGUCUCUGGUUACAUUUAUGAUUCUGUGGUAGUGUUCUCCUGCCAUCCGCCAAACCCAGAUUCGUCCGUCGGCCUGCCAGAUGGUGAAGCGUGAUUCAUCACUCCAGAGAACGCGUUUCCACUGCUCCAGAGUCCAAUGGCGGUCCACCACUCCAGCCGAUGCUCGCUAAUCCUAAAGUCAAUGAGGACUGGGGAGUACUGCACCAAAGCUCAGAGACCACGCUGCUGCCACAACUUGGUACUGACUCGGCAGCCAUUUUGGGAACAACAUCAAAUCAUUUUGUACCAGAGGUGCCAGACAAAGACUAGCCAAAAGUAUGCAAGAGGACCACAGAAACACUUAAGUUAGCAGCAGUUCCUUUGACUCCAAAAAGCAAAGCCUCGUCCUGGACAGAGAGAAGAAUAUUACCUUCCUGCUGAAGGAGCUGGAUUCACU
rnacentral:lncRNA from 1 species